AUGAGGAAAGGCAUAGUAAUCGACGAAAUGCUUCGAGGAGUUGAAAAUAAGCAUAGAUCCGAAGAUUCCCGAAUAGGGUAACCUUUCAAAUUGCUGCUGAAUCCAUGGAGAGGCAAGAGACAAACUGGCGAACUAAAAUAUCUUAAUAGCCAGACGAAAAGAAAGCAAAAGCAAUUCCAGUAGUAGCGGCGAGCAAAAUAGGAGCAGCUUAAACCAUGAAAAUGAGGUUGUGGGAGAGCAAUACAAGCGUCGUGUUGCUAGGCAAAGCAACACGAAUGUUGCACCUUAGAUGCUGAAAGUCUAGUAGCCGAAAGCAUCACUGGCUUACGCUUUGACCCGAAUAGCAUGGGAUACGUGAAAAUCCCGUGUGAAUCAGCAAGGACCACCUUGCAANNNNNNN
rnacentral:rRNA from 1 species